UCGAGAAUCUUCGGCAAUGGGCGCAAGCCUGACCGAGCGACGCCGCGUGCGGGAUGAAGGCCUUCGGGUUGUAAACCGCUGUCAGUGGGGAGGAAAUGCCGGGGGGUUCACCCCUCGGUUUGACCUAUCCGCAGAGGAAGGACGGGCUAAGUUCGUGCCAGCAGCCGCGGUAAGACGAACCGUCCAAACGUUAUUCGGAAUCACUGGGCUUAAAGGGUGCGUAGGCGGCCUGGCAAGUCGGGUGUGAAAGCCCUCGGCUCAACCGAGGAAUUGCGCCCGAAACUGCCGGGCUCGAGGAGGGUAGAGGUGAGCGGAACUUAGGGUGGAGCGGUGAAAUGCGUUGAUAUCCUAAGGAACACCAGUAGCGAAAGCGGCUCACUGGGCCUUUUCUGACGCUGAGGCACGCAAGCUAGGGGAGCGAACGG
rnacentral:rRNA from 1 species